GGAUUGUGGCUUAAUGGUAGAGUGCUUGUCUAGCAUGUGUGAGGCACUGAGUUCAAUCCUCAUCACCA
rnacentral:tRNA from 1 species